GGGGACGUUACGGAUUCGACAGGGGUAGAUCGAGCUCAGGUUGCGCGUCGAGGUUACGGCUCGUAAAACGUUACUCGCCUAAAUAUAACUGGCAAAACUAAUAAUCAACCAGCUUUAGCAGCUGCGUAAGCACUGCUAAGCGAUCCUUCCUGCUAUCGCCCGUGUGGCAGAUAGAAGGGUCUCAAAUGAAGCGGGCUAUACUGUCAUUCGCCGUCUGAGGAUGAUAGUUGAAACCAAUCAGACUAGCUGCCUUUUAAGCCUGUUGGCAGGCCUUUGGGUUAGUGAAUGAUAAUAUACCAACUACACGUGUAGAAGCCUGAGUGGCGAUAUCUCUGGACGUGGGUUCGAUUCCCACCGUCUCCACCA
rnacentral:tmRNA from 1 species